UCGAGAAUCUUCGGCAAUGGGCGCAAGCCUGACCGAGCGACGCCGCGUGGAGGACGAAGGCCUUCGGGUUGUAAACUCCUGUCGAGGGGGAAGAAGGGGUAAAACCUUGACUGAUCCCUGGAGGAAGCACGGGCUAAGUUCGUGCCAGCAGCCGCGGUAAGACGAACCGUGCGAACGUUAUUCGGAAUCACUGGGCUUAAAGCGCGUGUAGGCGGGAGGGCACGUCGGUCGUUGAAAUCCCCCGGCUCAACCGGGGAAGUGGCGCCGAUACGACCUUCCUGGAGGAACGUAGGGGGACCUGGAACUUCCGGUGGAGCGGUGAAAUGCGUUGAGAUCGGAAGGAACGCCCGUGGCGAAAGCGAGGUCCUGGACGUUUUCUGACGCUGAGACGCGAAAGCCAGGGGAGCAAACGGGAUUAGAUACCCCCGUAGUCC
rnacentral:rRNA from 1 species